rnacentral:rRNA from 1 species
CCUACGGGAGGCAGCAGUAGGGAAUUUUCGUCAAUGGGCGCAAGCCUGAACGAGCGAUGCCGCGUGAGUGAAGAAGGCCUUCGGGUCGUAAAGCUCUGUUGCGGGGGAAAAAAGGCAGCAUCAGGAAAUGGGUGCUGACUGAUGGUGCCCCGCCAGAAAGUCACGGCUAACUACGUGCCAGCAGCCGCGGUAAUACGUAGGUGGCGAGCGUUAUCCGGAAGGAUUGGGCGUAAAGGGUGCGCAGGCGGUCCUGCAAGUCUGGAGUGAAACGCAUGAGCUCAACUCAUGCAUGGCUUUGGAAACUGGAGGACUGGAGAGCAGGAGAGGGCGGUGGAACUCCAUGUGUAGCGGUAAAAUGCGUAGAUAUAUGGAAGAACACCAGUGGCGAAGGCGGACGCCUGGCCUGUUGCUGACGCUGAGGCACGAAAGCGUGGGGAGCAAAUAGGAUUAGAUACCCUUGUAGUC